rnacentral:rRNA from 1 species
AGAGUUUGAUCCUGGCUCAGGAUGAACGCUGGCGGUAUGCUUAACACAUGCAAGUCGAACGGGGGUAGAAAUACCCUAGUGGCGGACGGGUGAGUAACGCGUGAGAAUCUACCAACAGGAUGGGGAUAACAGAGGGAAACCGCUGCUAAUACCCAAUGUGCCGAAGGAUAAAAUCUAAGGUGAAAGAUUAAUUACCUGUUGAGGAGCUCGCGUCCGAUUAGCUAGUUGGUGGGGUAAGAGCCUACCAAGGCAUCGAUCGGUAGCUGGUCUGAGAGGACGAUCAGCCACACUGGGACUGAGACACGGCCCAGACUCCUACGGGAGGCAGCAGUGGGGAAUUUUCCGCAAUGGGCGAAAGCCUGACGGAGCAAUACCGCGUGAGGGAGGAAGGCUCUUGGGUUGUAAACCUCUUUUCUCAGGGAAGAACAAAAUGACGGUACCUGAGGAAUAAGCAUCGGCUAACUCCGUGCCAGCAGCCGCGGUAAUACGGAGGAUGCAAGCGUUAUCCGGAAUCAUUGGGCGUAAAGCGUCCGUAGGUGGCUAAUCAAGUCUGCCGUCAAAGACCGUAGCUCAACUACGGAAAGGCGGUGGAAACUGAUAAGCUAGAGUGCAGUAGGGGUAGAGGGAAUUCCCAGUGUAGCGGUGAAAUGCGUAGAGAUUGGGAAGAACACCGGUGGCGAAAGNNCUCUGCUGGACUGCAACUGACACUCAUGGACGAAAGCUAGGGGAGCGAAUGGGAUUAGAUACCCUAGUAGUCC